UGCUCGCCAUGGCCGACGAAAAGCCCAAGGAAGGAGUCAAGACAGAACAACGAUCAUAUUAAUUUGAAGGUGGCGGGGCAGGAUGGUUCUAUGGUGCAGUUUAAGAUUAAGAGGCAUACACCACUCAGUAAACUAAUGAAAGCCUAUUGUGAACAACAGGGAUUGUCAAUGAGGUAGAUCAGAUUCCCAUUCGACGGGCAACCAGUCAAUGAAACAGACACACCUGCACAGUUGGAAAUGGAGGAUGAAGAUACAAUUGAUGUGUUCCAACAGCAGACGGGAGGU
rnacentral:lncRNA from 1 species